AUGGCCGAUCAGGGCGACGGAGGGGCUGUGGCUCCGGCGGCGCCGGCACCGGCCGUGGUGCUGGGAGCACAGCCGGAGGAACCUGCCGGGGAUGCAGGUUUGGAGGAGCCGCUGGUGGAAGUGCACGAUGCUCCCGUGCUGGAUGCUCCGGUGCCCGUGGUUGGUGAAGGCGUGGAGGACCCGCAGGAAGAAGAGGCCUUGGAUGGAGGUGACAAUCAGGCGCCGGCUCUGGAUGAAGGAGAGGUGGACCUGCUGACGGAGCUCCUGCAGGAACUGGAUGAACCCGAGCCGGAGGAUGUGGACGAGUCAGCUGUCCGCAACCUCAUGGACGAACUGGCGCAAGGGGAGCCCAAGAAACGGAAGAUUGACUACACGCUGGCCACACAAGGACCGACGACUGCUGGCGGAUCCGGUGCCGGCGUUGCAACCCUCCCCAAGGCAGGCCCUUCCAUAAUGAACCACACGCUGCCUUUCAUGGUGCCGCCGGCCGGAGCAGCUCCUCCCCUGAUCAUCCCCGGCUUCGGCUUGCCUUUCGUGGGAAUGCCACCUGUGGGAGCCGGCGGGAUGCCACGAUUACCAAUGCUGGCCAGCGGCGGGCCGCCGCCGCUGUGUCCCGCCUGCCACAGAGCAACCAGGCAGCCAAACCAGGCUCGCGUUGGCAUGUCCCCAUUCAAUCGUCCAGACCCGCACAUCUGCUUGUGCUUACCGUGCCAAGAGAGGCUGGAUCAGAGGAUUCAGUACUGCCAGGACUGCCGCGCUUUCUAUGCGACGAACACAGGUUUCACGAGGUGA
rnacentral:rRNA from 1 species